AUUGAACGCUGGCGGCAUGCUUUACACAUGCAAGUCGAACGGCAGCGCAGUAUUAGGUUUGUCUGAGGGUGGGGGAGUGGCGGAUGGGGGAUCGGUACAUCCCCAGCUACUUUUGCUUGGGGGGUGAAGGAGGGAAACUUACGCCAAUACCGCUGACGGCGUAAGGGUGAAAGCGGGGGACCUUGGGACCUUGCACGAUCGGACGUGGGGAUGUCGGAUUAGUUAGUUGGUGGGGUAAAGGCUCACCAAGGCGACGAUCCGUAGCUGGUCUGAGAGGCCGACCAGCCACACUGGAACUGAGACACGGCCCAGACUCCUACGGGAGGCAGCAGUGGGGAAUUUUGGACAAUGGGGGCAAGCCUGAUCCAGCCAUGCCGCGUGCGUGAAGAAGGCCUUCGGGUUGUAAAGCGCUUUUGUUCGGGAAGAAAUGCUGUGGGUUAAUACCCCGGGGGUAUGACGGUACCGGAAGAAUAAGCACCGGCUAACUACGUG
rnacentral:rRNA from 1 species